GCUUUUACCAGUUACACCAGUUACUGCGCUUUCUUUCAUGGUGAAAAGAAGGACCAGAGUUGCUGUCACCACCUCCUUUUCAGAGUGAGCCUUCUAAGAGCUGAGGCCGAGUGAGCCUUCUAAGAGCUGAGGCCUUUGGCUCUCUCUCCUGUAGCACACUGGCCAGGCCCUGGAGCUCAGGCUGUCGCUGAUCACACCCAGCUCUUGAGAGCAAACUGACCACCCUCUCCAAGGGACCCACCUGGAAACUUCUGCGAUCCAUUCUAUUCGUUCAGACUGUAGGCUGAGAGUCCCUUUAAACUGCACUGGGCUGCUAUCUCUUAGCAUGUAUGAUUUGAGUGUUCCUUUAAGUGCUCUACAAAAGCCAGAAAGCAGGCAGGGGAAAUCCUAGGUCUAAGAAAUUAGGAAAGCUUUCUAUUUUUGUUGGGUAAGUUUGAUUCUGCAAAUCAUUUUAUAAAAAUACACUGAGAAAGUAGUCUAGCACACUUGCUACAUUUUUAACAUUCCUAAAGUUGCCCACAGUACUUAAAAAAAAAAAAAACGGUUUGUGUCACUUUCAAUUGGGGCUAAAAGAUCUUUUUGUUUGUUUUCUUGUCUUUAAAAAUACUGAUACCUGCAUCUAAUUUCUUGCCAAAAAAUACGAAUAAAAAUACUGAUUCAAUAAGGAGGG
rnacentral:lncRNA from 1 species